rnacentral:rRNA from 1 species
AACGAACGCUGGCGGCAGGCUUAACACAUGCAAGUCGAACGCAUCCUUCGGGGUGAGUGGCAGACGGGUGAGUAACGCGUGGGAACGUUCCCUUCAGUUCGGGAUAACCCAGGGAAACUUGGGCUAAUACCGGAUACGUGCGAGAGCAGAAAGAUUUAUAGCUGAAGGAUCGGCCCGCGUCUGAUUAGCUAGUUGGUGGGGUAAUGGCCCACCAAGGCGACGAUCAGUAGCUGGUCUGAGAGGAUGAUCAGCCACAUUGGGACUGAGACACGGCCCAGACUCCUACGGGAGGCAGCAGUGGGGAAUAUUGGACAAUGGGCGCAAGCCUGAUCCAGCCAUGCCGCGUGAGUGAUGAAGGCCUUAGGGUUGUAAAGCUCUUUCGUCCGGGACGAUAAUGACGGUACCGGAAGAAGAAGCCCCGGCUAACUUCGUGCCAGCCGCCGCUGUAA